GAUUGAACGCUGGCGGCAUGCUUUACACAUGCAAGUCGAACGGCAGCACGGAAGAGCUUGCUCUUUUGGUGGCGAGUGGCGAACGGGUGAGUAAUACAUCGGAACGUACCGAGUAGUGGGGGAUAACUGUCCGAAAGGAUGGCUAAUACCGCAUAUUCUCUGAGGAGGAAAGCAGGGGACCUUCGGGCCUUGCGCUAUUUGAGCGGCCGAUGUCUGAUUAGCUAGUUGGUGGGGUAAAGGCCUACCAAGGCGACGAUCAGUAGCGGGUCUGAGAGGAUGAUCCGCCACACUGGGACUGAGACACGGCCCAGACUCCUACGGGAGGCAGCAGUGGGGAAUUUUGGACAAUGGGGGGAACCCUGAUCCAGCCAUGCCGCGUGUCUGAAGAAGGCCUUCGGGUUGUAAAGGACUUUUGUCAGGGAAGAAAAGCUUGAGGUUAAUACCCUUGGGUGAUGACGGUACCUGAAGAAUAAGCACCGGCUAACUACGUGCCAGCAGCCGCGGUAAUACGUAGGGUGCGAGCGUUAAUCGGAAUUACUGGGCGUAAAGCGGGCGCAGACGGUUACUUAAGUCAGAUGUGAAAUCCCCGGGCUCAACCUGGGAACUGCGUUUGAAACUGGGUGACUAGAGUAUGUCAGAGGGGGGUAGAAUUCCACGUGUAGCAGUGAAAUGCGUAGAGAUGUGGAGGAAUACCGAUGGCGAAGGCAGCCCCCUGGGAUAAUACUGACGUUCAUGCCCGAAAGCGUGGGUAGCAAACAGGAUUAGAUACCCUGGUAGUCCACGCCCUAAACGAUGUCAAUUAGCUGUUGGGGUACUUGAUGCCUUAGUAGCGUAGCUAACGCGUGAAAUUGACCGCCUGGGGAGUACGGUCGCAAGAUUAAAACUCAAAGGAAUUGACGGGGACCCGCACAAGCGGUGGAUGAUGUGGAUUAAUUCGAUGCAACGCGAAGAACCUUACCUGGUCUUGACAUGUACGGAAUCCUCCAGAGACGGAGGAGUGCCUUCGGGAGCCGUAACACAGGUGCUGCAUGGCUGUCGUCAGCUCGUGUCGUGAGAUGUUGGGUUAAGUCCCGCAACGAGCGCAACCCUUGUCAUUAGUUGCCAUCAUUAAGUUGGGCACUCUAAUGAGACUGCCGGUGACAAGCCGGAGGAAGGUGGGGAUGACGUCAAGUCCUCAUGGCCCUUAUGACCAGGGCUUCACACGUCAUACAAUGGUCGGUACAGAGGGUAGCCAAGCCGCGAGGUGGAGCCAAUCCCAGAAAACCGAUCGUAGUCCGGAUUGCACUCUGCAACUCGAGUGCAUGAAGUCGGAAUCGCUAGUAAUCGCAGGUCAGCAUACUGCGGUGAAUACGUUCCCGGGUCUUGUACACACCGCCCGUCACACCAUGGGAGUGGGGGAUACCAGAAGUAGGUAGGGUAACCGUAAGGAGCCCGCUUACCACGGUAUGCUUCAUGACUGGGGUGAAGUCGUAACAAGGUAGCCGUAGGGGAACCUGCGGCUGGAUCACCUCCUUUCUAGAGAAAAAAGAGGUUUGGUCGCAUUCACACUUAUCGGUAAACUGUGUAUUAAAGAUGCAAGACUGGUUGGGAGAAUCCCGACGAAGUUGGAGUAAUCUGGGUUUGUAGCUCAGCUGGUUAGAGCACACGCUUGAUAAGCGUGGGGUCGGAGGUUCAAGUCCUCCCAGACCCACCAAGAGAUUGGGGGGCAUAGCUCAGUUGGUAGAGCACCUGCUUUGCAAGCAGGGGGUCAUCGGUUCGAUCCCGUUUGCCUCCACCAAAUACUUUGCAAAUCAAAGUAUUUUUGUUUGUCUUUAGUCUUUAGAUGUUUGGCAUCUGAAUAGAUAAAGAUGAAGUAAAGAAUAUUUUAAUUUGUGUAGGUUAGAGAAGGAAAAGUUUACUUAUUCCUUUUUUUAAGAAGCGCAUCGAUCUUUAACAAAUUGGAAAGCCGAAAUCAACAAACAAAGACAAUGUCGGCUUGCCGUAACAGGUAAGCCGCAGUAUUUGGGUGAUGAUUGUAUCGACCGGGCUGUGAAAGACAAAAGGCACAGUUCGGUACACAACAAGCAGUAAGUUUUAUCAAAGUAGAGGCCUUUAAGUUGCGAAGGUAGUCAACACUGUAGCAACGAAGUCAAAAAGGUACUUCAAAUGAUAGAGUCAAGUGAAUAAGUGCAUCAGGUGGAUGCCUUGGCGAUGAUAGGCGACGAAGGACGUGUAAGCCUGCGAAAAGCAUCGGGGAGCUGGCAAUAAAGCUAUGAUCCGGUGAUGUCCGAAUGGGGAAACCCACCGUAUUUUGUACGGUAUCCUUAUCUGAAUACAUAGGAUAAGCGAAGCGAACCCGGAGAACUGAACCAUCUAAGUAUCCGGAGGAAAAGAAAUCAACCGAGAUUCCGCAAGUAGUGGCGAGCGAACGUGGAGGAGCCUGUAUAUGAUAGCUGUUGAGAUAGGAGAACAAGCUGGGAAGCUUGGCCAUAGUGGGUGAUAGCCCCGUAUUCGAAAUUUCAUCAGUGGUACUAGGUAUACGACAAGUAGGGCGGGACACGUGGAAUCCUGUCUGAAUAUGGGGGGACCAUCCUCCAAGGCUAAAUACUCAUCAUCGACCGAUAGUGAACCAGUACCGUGAGGGAAAGGCGAAAAGAACCCCGGGAGGGGAGUGAAAUAGAACCUGAAACCUGAUGCAUACAAACAGUGGGAGCCUAUUAAUUAGGUGACUGCGUACCUUUUGUAUAAUGGGUCAACGACUUACAUUCAGUAGCGAGCUUAACCGGAUAGGGGAGGCGUAGGGAAACCGAGUCUUAAUAGGGCGAUGAGUUGCUGGGUGUAGACCCGAAACCGAGUGAUCUAUCCAUGGCCAGGAUGAAGGUGCCGUAACAGGUACUGGAGGUCCGAACCCACGCAUGUUGCAAAAUGCGGGGAUGAGCUGUGGAUAGGGGUGAAAGGCUAAACAAACUCGGAGAUAGCUGGUUCUCCCCGAAAACUAUUUAGGUAGUGCCUCAUGUAUCACUUCCGGGGGUAAAGCACUGUUAUGGCUAGGGGGUCAUUGCGACUUACCAACCCAUGGCAAACUAAGAAUACCGGAAAGUGCAAUCAUGGGAGACAGACAGCGGGUGCUAACGUCCGUUGUCGAAAGGGAAACAACCCAGACCGCCAGCUAAGGUCCCAAAUGAUAGAUUAAGUGGUAAACGAAGUGGGAAGGCCCAGACAGCCAGGAUGUUGGCUUAGAAGCAGCCAUCAUUUAAAGAAAGCGUAAUAGCUCACUGGUCGAGUCGUCCUGCGCGGAAGAUGUAACGGGGCUCAAAUCUAUAACCGAAGCUGCGGAUGCACCUAGUGCAUGGUAGGGGAGCGUUCUGUAGGCCGAUGAAGGUGACUUGAGAAGGUUGCUGGAGGUAUCAGAAGUGCGAAUGUUGACAUGAGUAGCGAUAAAGCGGGUGAAAAGCCCGCUCGCCGAAAGCCCAAGGUUUCCUACGCAACGUUCAUCGGCGUAGGGUGAGUCGGCCCCUAAGGCGAGGCAGAAAUGCGUAGUCGAUGGGAAACGGGUUAAUAUUCCCGUACUUUGAUUUAGUGCGAUGUGGGGACGGAGAAGGUUAUGUCAGCGGCCUGUUGGAAUAGGUCGUUCAAGCCGGUAGGUGGAACAUUUAGGCAAAUCCGGAUGUUUAUACACCGAGAAGUGAUAACGAUUGUCUACGGACAAGAAGUGACAGAUACCACGCUUCCAGGAAAAGCCACUAAGCUUCAGCUAAAUCAGAACCGUACCGCAAACCGACACAGGUGGGCAGGAUGAGAAUUCUAAGGCGCUUGAGAGAACUCGGGAGAAGGAACUCGGCAAAUUGAUACCGUAACUUCGGGAGAAGGUAUGCCCUUCGAUGUGAAAGACUUGCUCUGUAAGCAUUGGAGGGUCGCAGAGAAUCGGUGGCUGCGACUGUUUAUUAAAAACACAGCACUCUGCUAACACGAAAGUGGACGUAUAGGGUGUGACGCCUGCCCGGUGCUGGAAGGUUAAUUGAAGAUGUGAGAGCAUUGGAUCGAAGCCCCAGUAAACGGCGGCCGUAACUAUAACGGUCCUAAGGUAGCGAAAUUCCUUGUCGGGUAAGUUCCGACCCGCACGAAUGGCGUAACGAUGGCCACACUGUCUCCUCCCGAGACUCAGCGAAGUUGAAAUGGUUGUGAAGAUGCAAUCUCCCCGCUGCUAGACGGAAAGACCCCGUGAACCUUUACUGUAGCUUUGCAUUGGACUUUGAAGUCACUUGUGUAGGAUAGGUGGGAGGCUUAGAAGCAGAGACGCCAGUUUCUGUGGAGCCGUCCUUGAAAUACCACCCUGGUGGCUUUGAGGUUCUAACCCAGGUCCGUGAUCCGGAUCGGGGACCGUGCAUGGUAGGCAGUUUGACUGGGGCGGUCUCCUCCCAAAGAGUAACGGAGGAGUUCGAAGGUUACCUAGGUCCGGUCGGAAAUCGGACUGAUAGUGCAAUGGCAAAAGGUAGCUUAACUGCGAGACCGACAAGUCGAGCAGGUGCGAAAGCAGGACAUAGUGAUCCGGUGGUUCUGUAUGGAAGGGCCAUCGCUCAACGGAUAAAAGGUACUCCGGGGAUAACAGGCUGAUUCCGCCCAAGAGUUCAUAUCGACGGCGGAGUUUGGCACCUCGAUGUCGGCUCAUCACAUCCUGGGGCUGUAGUCGGUCCCAAGGGUAUGGCUGUUCGCCAUUUAAAGUGGUACGUGAGCUGGGUUUAAAACGUCGUGAGACAGUUUGGUCCCUAUCUGCAGUGGGCGUUGGAAGUUUGACGGGGGCUGCUCCUAGUACGAGAGGACCGGAGUGGACGAACCUCUGGUGUACCGGUUGUGACGCCAGUCGCAUCGCCGGGUAGCUAAGUUCGGAAGAGAUAAGCGCUGAAAGCAUCUAAGCGCGAAACUCGCCUGAAGAUGAGACUUCCCUUGCGGUUUAACCGCACUAAAGAGUCGUUCGAGACCAGGACGUUGAUAGGUCGGGUGUGGAAGCGCAGCAAUGCGUGAAGCUAAC
rnacentral:rRNA from 1 species